UUGCAUGUUGGAAACUCUUAUUUUGCUCCUCAUUCUUUUGGGAAUAUGGCUGUAUCCAUGGUAUGCUGUAUUAAAAAAGAGUUUUCAGGGCUGCUAGCCAUGUAGUGAGGAUUAAUUAGUAGGAUAUUUCUCCUACAUAA
ensembl:snoRNA